GCGUUUUAACUACUUAUUAUGAAAUGUAAAUAUGAACAGAAAGAUGAGAUUAUUAAAAGGACUAUGUUUUAACUACUUAUUAUGAAAUGUAAAUAGCUAAACAAGUUCUUGACUGCUCUUCUUAGCUCCGUUUUAACUACUUAUUAUGAAAUGUAAAUAGAACUCUUUUGAUGAUAACCCAAUUCCUUCAAAAAGUUUUAACUACUUAUUAUGAAAUGUAAAUAAGGGAGCAUAGACAGCACCUAACUUUUCUAUGGUGUUUUAACUACUUAUUAUGAAAUGUAAAUGGU
rnacentral:sRNA from 1 species